rnacentral:snoRNA from 14 species
UGCGAUGAUGAUAACUCCCUGACCUGAAAGGUGAUGAGGACCGGUUCACUGAGCU